UUACAAUGCACGAAAGUGUGAUAGGGGGAUACUCAGUGCUUACGGUUAUGCUGUAGGCUUUUGUCGAUCGUAAAUAGAUCGGCGAAGAAGUGGUGGGAAAGACUGGUGCCAGCCGCCGCGGUAACCCCAGCGCCACAAGUGGUUAUCACGAUUAUUGGGCCUAAAGCGUUCGUAGCUGGUUUGGUAAAUCUCUUGUGAAAUUGUUCGGCUUAACCGGACAGCGUGCAGGAGACACUGCCAAACUCGAGACCGGGAGGCGUGUGAAGUAUGCCGUGGGGACUGGUAAAAUGGGAUAAUCCACGGUAGACUACCGAUGGCGAAGGCAUCACACGAGAACGGAUCUGACAGUGAGGAACGAAAGCCAGGGGAGCGAACCGG
rnacentral:rRNA from 1 species